UACGUAGGGGGCGAGCGUUGUCCGAAGUUACUGGGCGUAAAGCGCACGUAGGCGGCUUACAAAGUUGCAUCUAAAAGGCGACAGCUCAACUGUCGAGUGCGGUGCAAGACUGGUAGGCUUGAGGCAAGCAAAAGAGUGUGGAACUCCGAGUGUAGCGGUGGAAUGCGUAGAGAUUCGGAAGAACACCCAAGGCGAAGGCAGCACUCUGGG
rnacentral:rRNA from 1 species